rnacentral:misc_RNA from 1 species
GUCGAAGGUGGGGCUGAUGACUGGGGUGAAGUCGUAACAAGGUAGCCGUACCGGAAGGUGCGGCUGGAUCACCUCCUAACAGGGAGACAAACAACGAUUUUGAUGCCUGAGUGUUUUAUUCUUAGGCCGAAAUCCUGUCACCUUAGGUCGAUCGGUACCUCAGCUUUGAAAUCACAGAUUCUGCAGCAAUGUCGAUGAGAGUGAUGGAGAUUUUCAGUUCCUAAACUUUGUCUAGGUCACACCCCACAAGGGUUGAGUUUUCCUGGGCCAUUAGCUCAGGUGGUUAGAGCGCACCCCUGAUAAGGGUGAGGUCCCUGGUUCAAGUCCAGGAUGGCCCAUUCGGUGUUGGGGGUUUAGCUCAGUUGGUAGAGCGCCUGCUUUGCAAGCAGGAUGUCAGGAGUUCGAGUCUCCUAACCUCCACUGACCGAACUCAAUCUCCGGCUCUGUAUUGAAUAAUGGAGAGCAAUUCGGUUGUGAUGUGUGAUUUAGAUGUGUCCGCUGGAUAGACCCCAGCUUCCUGUCAUUCCAAAUCAUCAAAUUUGGUUGAUAAGAUGCUGGGCUCGAAUCAGGUCAAACUGAUUUGCUGUCUAGCUGAACCUUGACAACUGCAUAGUUGAAGUCUGGAAAAAACAAAGCAUCUCAUGGAUGCAUUGUUUUGAGUUUAAGCAUUCAUCCGAAUGUUUAAAACCAGAGCAAUGAAAAUUCUUUUGAGCAAGAGCCGAGACUCUAAAAUGUUCUUCUAAUCGUGUCGAGCGAUUGGGAGUUUGAUCUUAUUUUUAAUUUGCUUAGGCAGAAGCUAAAAAUUUGAAAAUCUGCUUUCAACGGCGGUAAGCAUUUUAGAGAUACAUUGGUCAAGCUACAAAGGGCUCA